rfam:Kouleothrix aurantiaca strain COM-B contig_27, whole genome shotgun sequence.
GUCAUAGUCCUACCGGCAUUCAGCCGAGGGCUUGUGGGACAAUCCACAAGCCUGUCUAUGACCAGACCAUCCGCCUGAGCCGCAGGACACGGCGCUGACGGCGGAGCGUUGACCAGAGGUUCAAGACCGACGUUGGAAUGCUGCUUCAGUUCCAACCUCUCGAAGCUCCGGUUGCAGACACCCUUCAGGGAAAGGACGAAACGAACCGGAGCGGGAUGCCGCUGAUCAACACGGUCGAGGAGAGCCGCC